rnacentral:rRNA from 1 species
ACGCUCGACACCUACGGGAGGCAGCAGUGGGGAAUAUUGCACAAUGGGGGAAACCCUGAUGCAGCGACGCCGCGUGACUGAAGAAGUAUUUCGGUAUGUAAAGGUCUAUCAGCAGGGAAGAAAGAAGACGGUACCUGACUAAGAAGCCCCGGCUAACUACGUGCAAGCAGCCGCGGUAAUCUGAGCGGGCUGGCAAGGC